rnacentral:rRNA from 1 species
GAUGAACGCUAGCGGCAGGCCUAAUACAUGCAAGUCGAGGGGUAGAAGAGGCUUGCUUCUUUGAGACCGGCGCACGGGUGCGUAACGCGUAUGCAACCUACCUUCAUCUGGGGGAUAGCCCGGAGAAAUCCGGAUUAAUACCGCAUAAAAUCACAGGAUGGCAUUAGCCAAUGAUCAAACAUUUAUGGGAUGGAGAUGGGAAUGCGUGUCAUUAGCUAGUUGGCGGGGUAACGGCCCACCAAGGCGACGAGGACUAGGGGAUCUGGGAGGAUGGCCCCCCGCACUGGAACUGAGACACGGACCAGACUCCUACGGGAGGCAGCAGUAAGGAAUAUUGGUCAAUGAAGGCAACUCUGAACCAGCCAUGCCGCGUGCAGGAAGACUGCCCUAUGGGUUGUAAACUGCUUCUAUUCGGGAAUAAACCUUAUUACGUGUAAUAAGCUGAAUGUACCGAAGGAAUAAGGAUCGGCUAACUCCGUGCCAGCAGCCGCCGUAA